rnacentral:rRNA from 1 species
GAUGAACGCUGGCGGCGUGCCUAAUACAUGCAAGUCGAGCGAACGGACGAGAAGCUUGCUUCUCUGAUGUUAGCGGCGGACGGGUGAGUAACACGUGGAUAACCUACCUAUAAGACUGGGAUAACUUCGGGAAACCGUAGCUAAUACCGGAUAAUAUUUUGAACCGCAUGGUUCAAAAGUGAAAGACGGUCUUGCUGUCACUUAUAGAUGGAUCCGCGCUGCAUUAGCUAGUUGGUAAGGUAACGGCUUACCAAGGCAACGAUGCAUAGCCGACCUGAGAGGGUGAUCGACCACACUGGAACUGAGACACGGUCCAGACUCCUACGGGAGGCAGCAGUAGGGAAGCUUCCGCAAUGGGCGAAAGCCUGACGGAGCAACGCCGCGUGAGUGAUGAAGGUCUUCGGAUCGUAAAACUCUGUUAUUAGGGAAGAACAUAUGUGUAAGUAACUGUGCACAUCUUGACGGUACCUAAUCAGAAAGCCACGGCUAACUACGUG